GCACAGCCCUGCACUUCCAGCCCAGCUGUGGGUAAUGAAAAGGGUUGGGAUGAGUCAGGGAGAGCUAGGGUGGCUUCAGUCUCUAAAGCUGUCUUCAAGGAACGGAAAGAGGAAUGGAGAAAGGAUUUAGGAUCUAUGGGGUCAGCUAGGUUUCCUUUUGUGAGUUUAUAUAAUGGUUUUGUUAAGAUGGCGAAACCAGGCAUCCAAAAUCGAAAGUAUCCAACCAUGCCUAGGAAGGAAAGGAGUUGUUGUUUUGUAGAAGGUGUUGGGGUUUGAGAGAUCAGUCGGACACGAUUGGCAGGGAGAGCAUGUGCAUUUUUAUGAAGAAUUAUGCUGAGGUAGAUUACGGAUGGAGAAGAAAUUUGAGCUUUGGAGGGGGACACCCAAUAUCCUUUGGAGAAUAAAUGCUGAAGGAGCAGAAGGGUGUCUUGUUGAGAAGAUUCAAAGGAGGGGCUACAAAGAAGAAGGUCAUCAAUAUAUUGAAUAAGGUGAGAAGCGGAGGGGUGGAAAGAAAGUAAAUCAUGAGAAAGAGCUUGGCUGAAGUAAUGAGAGCUGUCCCUGAAACCCUGCGGCAGCACAGCCCAGAACGGGAUCAAAUGGCUUAGAGGCAUCCCCCUAAGACCAGAUGAUCAGCGAGUGCUUCACACAUGCCGGCGGAGCCUUCUUGGACCAACGUUGGAUUUCUGGACCAGAGAAACCAAGAGAGGCCGUGUGGAUUUAUCUCUGUUAACCAGGCUCCCAGG
rnacentral:lncRNA from 10 species